rnacentral:rRNA from 1 species
GAUGAACGCUGGCGGCGUGCCUAACACAUGCAAGUCGAACGGACAUUUUUUGGAAAGCUCUUCGGAACUGGAAUCUAAAUGUUAGUGGCGGACGGGUGAGUAACGCGUGAGCAAUCUGCCUUUCAGAGGGGGAUAACAGCCGGAAACGGCUGCUAAUACCGCAUAAUGCAUCGGAUUCGCAUGUUUUUGAUGCCAAAGAUUUUAUCGCUGGAAGAUGAGCUCGCGGCCGAUUAGGUAGUUGGUGAGAUAACAGCCCACCAAGCCGACGAUCGGUAGCCGGACUGAGAGGUUGAUCGGCCACAUUGGGACUGAGACACGGCCCAG